rnacentral:rRNA from 1 species
AACGAACGCUGGCGGCAUGCCUAACACAUGCAAGUCGAACGGGAUCCUAGCUUGCUAGGUGAGAGUGGCGGACGGGUGAGUAACACGUGGGAAUCUGCCUUUUGGUUCGGAUAACCGCGGGAAACUGCGGCUAAUACCGAAUGCCCUCGAGAGAGGAAAGAUUUAUCGCCAGAAGAGGAGCCCGCGUCCGAUUAGGUAGUUGGUGGGGUAAAGGUCUACCAAGCCGACGAUCGGUAGCUGGUCUGAGAGGAUGAUCAGCCACACUGGGACUGAGAUACGGCCCAGACUCCUACGGGAGGCAGCAGUGGGAAUAUUGGACAAUGGGGGCAACCCUGAUCCAGCAAUGCCGCGUGAGUGAUGAAGGCCUUAGGGUUGUAAAGCUCUUUGCUAGGGAAGAUGAUGACUGUACCUGGAGAAUAAGCCCGGCUAACUUCGUGCCAGCAGCCGCGGUAAU